GACGAACGCUGGCGGCGUGCUUAACACAUGCAAGUCGAACGAAAAGGCCCUGCUUUUGUUGCGUUCUCGAGUGGCGAACGGGUGUGUAACACGUGAGUAUCCUCCCCUUGACUUUGGGGUAACUUCAGGAAACUGGGGCUAAUACACGAUAGGAGAUCCUGCUGCAUGUUGGGGGUUGAAAAAUUUCGGCGGUUGUGGAUGGACUCGCGGCUUAUCAGCUUGUUGGGGGGGUAGUGGCUUACCAGGGGUUUGACGGGUAGCCUGCCUGAGAGGGUGAACGGGCACAUUGGGACUGAGAUACGGACCAGACUCGUACGGGAGGCAGUAGUGGGAAAUAUUGCACAAUGGGCGGAAGCCUGAUGCAGCAACGCCGCGUGCGUGAUGACGGGUUUCGGGUUGUAAACCGCUUUCGCAUGUGACGAAGCGUGAGUGACGGUAACGGGUAAAGAAGCAACGGCUAACUACGUG
rnacentral:rRNA from 1 species